rnacentral:lncRNA from 10 species
ACAAGAUCUGAUGGUUUUAAAAAGGGGAGUUUCCCCACACAUCUCUUGUCUGCCACCAGGUGAGAUGUGUUUUUCACCUUCCACCAUGAUUGUGAAGCCUUCCCAGCCAUGUAGAACUGUAAGUCCAAUAACUACCUUUCUUUUAUUAAUUGCCCAGUCUUGGGUAUGUCUUUAUCAGCAGCGUGAAAAUGGACUAAUACAAGUGGGUAAUGCCUUGUGGGGAUAGGAGGCAAUAACAGCACAUAGUGCAUAGGAUAAAUGCCUAAUCCAGUUCAGUGAUUGGGAUGUGGCUAGGGGUGGACAGUUCAGAAAGGUUUUUAAGAGGAAUUAACAUUGAAAACGCAAGACCAACAGGAGCAAGUCAAGCUAAAAAGAACAGAAGAGAAAAAUGUUCCAAACUGAGGAAAGUGUGCAAAGACUCUCAAGGAAAGAAGUCUUGGUAGGUUUGGAAAAGUCUGAGGAACUUCAAUCUGGCUGAUCAAGUGCAAGGGUAAAAGGCGAGGUUGCAAACACAGGAAGAGGUUAAAGUGGACCUCUUUACUUUAUAGGCAAAAUUAAUGGGGUUGGCCUUGAUCCUGACAGCAAAGGGAGGCCACUUAAAUGUUAAGCAGUGAGAUGAUAUGAAAUUGUCUUUAGAACAAAAGAUUUCCAAAUGGGGUAGGCUCAUUCACUGGGGUUCAAGGUGUCAGAGGCAUGAACAGUUUUUUGUAAUUAAUUUUAAGGUGGUCACCUUCCUUUUGUACUCCUUCUACUAGAGAAUGCACACACUUGUGAUGAAGGCAUCAUAUGGUUUUCCUUUUCCUCUUGCCCUAGCAUAAUUAUCUUUCUCCCUCUUUUAUUUUUAUUUAUUAUUAUUUUUUUAUGAGGCAUAUCACUCAUUCAUUCUGAACCUUGCUUUGGUGAGUUAUCCAGGGGCACCAAACAGAUGGACAAUUCAGAAUACUGGUACUGGUGAAGACUCCUCUUGUCAAGACACAAUAAACUCACUUGGAAGAUUUGAGAUUUGUCCUUGUAUUAAAAAUAUUUUUAUUAGGGGCAAAAUGUGGUAUCAGAAAUAGGGUGUUAGAAUGUUUUGGAAUCAGAUAUCUUGCAGAGCAAAGAUGCUGGAGUAAUGAUAAUUUUUACCUAUUGGUUUUGUCUCUUUCAUUCCUGAACUAUCAUCAAAGAAUGCAAUGCACCUGAAAAGAAAAAAAAUUUGAUUAAACACAUUGAUGAGGGUGGCACCUCACUUCAUCCAGGAAACAAUGCAAGUCAAAGAUCCCUGCUUUAUCUAUUUUAGUAUUGGAGCAUUCCAAAUUGUAAAAAGCAUCAUAGGAAGUAAGCAUCUGCAACAGAGUGAACCCUCUGGAUAUUUUCCCCCUCCUGGGUAAGGAGAAAGAAUACCAAUACCAACGAGAGAAUUCCCCUUCACCUGUGUUUUCAGCUGUCUUGUUGGUCUGAUUUCAAGGAGAAAAGAGUGGAAAAUAAUUGAUUCAUUUUCUAAAGAUUUUACAGCUUCAGUGAAAGGAACAUAUAACAAAGGAAUAGUCUAAACCAGAGAAGACUCUAUGGAUGACAUGAAUCUUCUUUUUACCUCAUCUUUGGAACAUUCUCCAGAACAAUUUUGAGACCUACCAGCAUCAUUGAGAGAUUUAGAAGUAUAAAUUAGUAUUGCCCUAAGAAACCAGUUGCCAUGAUGUGAGGAAGCUCAAGCAACCCUAUGGAGAAACGGUUUCCCACAGGGAAAGAUAUCCAGAUCCCUGUCUAACAGCUUCAAUUGAGCACCCAUCUGAAAUAAGCAUCAACCUGUCAACCAUGUGAGUGAGCUGUCUUGGAAGUGGACCCUCCAGCCACAGCUGAGUCAUUCAAGCUGAUGAGUAGAGACAAGCUAUUUCCAAUGGGCCUUAACAAAAUUGCAGAUUUGUGAGCAAAACAAAUAAUUUUUGUUGUUUCAAGAUACUAAAUUUUGGAGGAGUUUGUUAUACAACAAUAGAUAACCAGAAAACCAUGACAUAUGAAUUAUAAAUUUAUCAUUGAGUUGUUGGUUAUCUUUCCACCUCUGAAAAUUAAAUACCUAGCCAGUCAUGAUAAAGAGUAAGGUAAAAAAAGUAUGAAAGUAUGAGAAAUAUAUAUGAAAAAUCAAGGAUGAGCAGAAAAUAGGAUCAGGAAUGAGGCUAAUAUAUAAUGCAUACCACAAUUCUUAAUUUGGAAAAUUUUGUCAAUUUCUAAUAAAGUUAAACAUACAUCCGACCUAUGAGUCAGCAAUUUUACUCUUAUGUAUAUACUCAAAGAAUAUCAAAUAAAGACAUAUGUCCACCAAAACACUCUUAAAGAAUGCUCAUAGUAGCUUCAUUCAUAAUGAUUCCCAAAUGGAAACAAUGGAAAUGUCAUUAAACAAUGAAUGAAGCCAAACACAUGAGUCUACAUACUGUAUGAUUUCAUUGAUAUUAAGUUCAAAAACAUGCAAAUUAAACUACGAUAACAGGAGUUGUAUGGCUGGUUACCUUUGGAGGAAAAGGAAAUGACUAGGAAGGAUCACUUUAAAAAAUCUUCUAUAGUGAUAGGAUCUUUUAUAUAUUGACCUGGAUAAUAGUUACAUGGAUGUAUACAUAUGUAAAAUUAAUUGUGCUAUACACUAAAGGUUUGUGCAUUUGACUGUGUCAAUUAUUUCACAUUUAAAAAUAAAUAAA